UACGAAGGGGGCUAGCGUUGCUCGGAAUCACUGGGCGUAAAGGGUGCGUAGGCGGGUAUUUAAGUCAGGGGUGAAAUCCUGGAGCUCAACUCCAGAACUGCCUUUGAUACUGAGUAUCUUGAGUACGGGAGAGGUGAGUGGAACUGCGAGUGUAGAGGUGAAAUUCGUAGAUAUUCGCAAGAACACCAGUGGCGAAGGCGGCUCACUGGCCCGAUACUGACGCUGAGGCACGAAAGCGUGGGGAGCAAACAGG
rnacentral:rRNA from 1 species